rnacentral:rRNA from 1 species
AGUGAACGCUGGCGGUAGGCCUAACACAUGCAAGUCGAACGGCAGCACAGGAGAGCUUGCUCUCUGGGUGGCGAGUGGCGGACGGGUGAGGAAUACAUCGGAAUCUACUCUGUCGUGGGGGAUAACGUAGGGAAACUUACGCUAAUACCGCAUACGACCUACGGGUGAAAGCAGGGGACCUUCGGGCCUUGCGCGAUUGAAUGAGCCGAUGUCGGAUUAGCUAGUGGCGGGGUAAGGGCCCACCAAGGCGACGAUCCGUAGCUGGUCUGAGAGGAUGAUCAGCCACACUGGAACUGAGACACGGUCCAGACUCCUACGGGAGGCAGCAGUGGGGAAUAUUGGACAAUGGGCGCAAGCCUGAUCCAGCCAUACCGCGUGGGUGAAGAAGGCCUUCGGGUUGUAAAGCCCUUUUGUUGGGAAAGAAAUCCAGCUGGCUAAUACCCGGUUGGGAUGACGGUACCCAAAGAAUAAGCACCGGCUAACUUCGUGCCAGCAGCCGCCGUAA